rnacentral:rRNA from 1 species
AGAGCGAACGCUGGCGGCAGGCUUAACACAUGCAAGUCGAGCGGGCGUAGCAAUACGUCAGCGGCAGACGGGUGAGUAACGCGUGGGAACGUACCUUUGGUUCGGAACAGCACAGGGAAACUUGUGCUAAUACCGGAUAAGCCCUUACGGGGAAAGAUUUAUCGCCAAAAGAUCGGCCCGCGUCUGAUUAGCUAGUUGGUGAGGUAACGGCUCACCAAGGCGACGAUCAGUAGCUGGUCUGAGAGGAUGAUCAGCCACAUUGGGACUGAGACACGGCCCAAACUCCUACGGGAGGCAGCAGUGGGGAAUAUUGGACAAUGGGCGCAAGCCUGAUCCAGCCAUGCCGCGUGAGUGAUGAAGGCCCUAGGGUUGUAAAGCUCUUUUGUGCGGGAAGAUAAUGACGGUACCGCAAGAAUAAGCCCCGGACUAACUUCGCGCCAGCAGCCGC